UGGCUCAAAAGGUAAAGUAUCUGCCUGCAAUGCAGGAGACCUGGGUUAGAUUCCUGG
rnacentral:tRNA from 1 species